CCUACGGGUGGCAGCAGUGAGGAAUAUUGGUCAAUGGGCUUACGCCUGAACCAGCCAAGUCGCGUGAGGGAAGACUGCCCUAUGGGUUGUAAACCUCUUUUGUCAGGGAGCAAUUGGCGCUACGUGUACCGUUAUCGAGAGUACCUGUAGAAAAAGCCUCGGCAAACUCCGUGCCAGCAGCCGCGGUAAUCCGGAGGAUGCGAGCGUUAUCCGGAUUUAUUGGGUUUAAAGGGUGCGUAGGCGGAGUGCCAAGUCAGCGGUAAAAUCGCGGGCCUCAACCUCGCUCCGCCGUUGAAACUGGCGUGCUGGAGUGGGGGAGAGGUAGGCGGAAUGCGUGGUGUAGCGGUGAAAUGCAUAGAUAUCACGCAGAACUCCGAUUGCGAAGGCAGCAUGCCGGAGCGCAACUGACGCUGAAGCACGAAAGCGUGGGUAUCGAACAGGAUUAGAUACCCCUGUAGUC
rnacentral:rRNA from 1 species